GCCGAGCGUGGUGGCGCGCGCCUGUAAUCCCAGCUACUUGGGGGGCUGAGACAGGAGAAUCGCUUGAACCCAGGAGGUGGAGGUUGCAGUGAGCCGACAUGGUGCCACUGCACUCCAGCCUGGGUGACAGAGCGAGACUCUGUCUCAA
ensembl:misc_RNA Metazoa_SRP Metazoan signal recognition particle RNA